CCUACGGGGGGCAGCAGUGGGGGAUAUUGCACAAUGGGGGGAACCCUGAUGCAGCGACGCCGCGUGGGUGAAGGAGUGCUUCGGCAUGUAAAGCCCUAUCGGCAGGGAAGAAGCAAGACGGUACCUGACUAAGAAGCCCCGGCUAACUACGUGCCAGCAGCCGCGGUAAUACGUAGGGGGCGAGCGUUAUCCGGAUUCACUGGGUGUAAAGGGAGCGUAGACGGCCAUGCAAGCCAGGGGUGAAAGCCCGGGGCCCAACCCCGGGACUGCCCUUGGAACUGUGCGGCUAGAGUGCGGGAGGGGCAGGCGGAAUUCCUGGUGUAGCGGUGAAAUGCGUAGAUAGCAGGAGGAACACCGGCGGCGAAGGCGGCCUGCUGGACUGCGACUGACGUUGAGGCUCGAAAGCGUGGGGAGCGAACAGGAUUAGAUACCCGGGUAGUC
rnacentral:rRNA from 1 species